rnacentral:rRNA from 1 species
UACAUGUGGGGCAAGCGUUGUUCGGAAUUACUGGGCGUAAAGCGUGCGCAGGCGGUUUCUUAAGUCAGAUGUGAAAGCCCCGGGCUUAACCUGGGAACUGCGUUUGAAACUGGGAGACUUGAGUGUGGGAGAGGUGAGUGGAAUUUCCGGUGUAGCGGUGAAAUGCGUAGAUAUCGGAAGGAACACCCGUGGCGAAGGCGGCUCUCUGGGACGGUACUGACGCUGAGACGCGAAAGCGUGGGGAGCGAACAGG